AGAGUUUGAUCCUGGCUCAGAUUGAACGCUGGCGGCAUGCCUAACACAUGCAAGUCGAACGGAAACGAUGGGAGCUUGCUCCCAGGCGUCGAGUGGCGGACGGGUGAGUAAUGCAUAGGAAAUUGCCUUGAAGUGGGGGAUAGCCCGGAGAAAUCCGGAUUAAUACCGCAUGCGCUCUACGGAGCAAAGCGGGCCUCUGAUUUAAGCUCGCGCUUUAAGAUAUGCCUAUGUCGGAUUAGCUAGUUGGUAGGGUAAAAGCCUACCAAGGCGACGAUCCGUAGCUGGUUUGAGAGGAUGAUCAGCCACACUGGGACUGAGAUACGGCCCAGACUCCUACGGGAGGCAGCAGUGGGGAAUAUUGGACAAUGGGCGCAAGCCUGAUCCAGCAAUGCCGCGUGUGUGAAGAAGGCCUGCGGGUUGUAAAGCACUUUUAUCGGGAAAGAAAAUCUCAGGGUUAAUACCCCUGGGCCUUGACGGUACCCGAAGAAUAAGCACCGGCUAACUCAGUGCCAGCAGCCGCGGUAAUACUGAGGGUGCAAGCGUUAAUCGGAAUUACUGGGCGUAAAGCGAGUGUAGGCGGCUGCGUAAGUCGGAUGUGAAAGCCCCGGGCUCAACCUGGGAAUUGCAUUCGAUACUGCGCGGCUUGAGUCUGAUAGAGGGAAGUGGAAUUCCAGGUGUAGCGGUGAAAUGCGUAGAUAU
rnacentral:rRNA from 1 species